AGUGCAAUUGCUGUAUCAUAUGGUAAGACUAUGUUUAGCUUUUUAAAAAAUUGCCAAACUGUCUUCCAAAGUGGCUAUACCAUUUUGCAUUUCCACCAGCAAU
rnacentral:pre_miRNA from 1 species